rnacentral:rRNA from 1 species
AGUGAACGCUGGCGGUAGGCCUAACACAUGCAAGUCGAACGGCAGCACAGUAAGAGCUUGCUCUUACGGGUGGCGAGUGGCGGACGGGUGAGGAAUACAUCGGAAUCUACUUUUUCGUGGGGGAUAACGUAGGGAAACUUACGCUAAUACCGCAUACGACCUACGGUGAAAGCAGGGGAUCUUCGGACCUUGCGCGAUUGAAUGAGCCGAUGUCGGAUUAGCUAGUUGGCGGGGUAAAGGCCCACCAAGGCGACGAUCCGUGGCUGGUCUGAGAGGAUGAUCAGCCACACUGGAACUGAGACACGGUCCAGACUCCUACGGGAGGCAGCAGUGGGGAAUAUUGGACAAUGGGCGCAAGCCUGAUCCAGCCAUACCGCGUGGGUGAAGAAGGCCUUCGGGUUGUAAAGCCCUUUUGUUGGGAAAGAAAAGCAGCAGGUUAAUACCCCGCUGUUCUGACGGUACCCAAAGAAUAAGCACCGGCUAACUUCGUG